GACGAACCGUGCGAACGUUGUUCGGAUUUACUGGGCGUAAAGGGCGCGCAGGCGGCUCAUUUUGUCAGGCGUGAAAGCCCCGGGCUUAACCUGGGAACUGCGUUUGAUACGGAUGGGCUAGAGUUCGGGAGAGGAGAGUGGAAUUCCCAGUGUAGAGGUGAAAUUCGUAGAUAUUGGGAAGAACACCGGUGGCGAAGGCGGCUCUCUGGACCGAGACUGACGCUGAGGCGCGAAAGCGUGGGGAGCAAACAGG
rnacentral:rRNA from 1 species